UUCUUUCGAGUUUCAAGAGACCACAACGUUAAUCAUCCAUCUUCAUCUUCCAUCCACGGUGGGGCUCAGCUGAGAAAGCACAUUGACGCAACACUAGGCAGUGGGAACCUAAGAGAAUCAGUAAAGCUUCCAACUGGAGAAGAUUUAAAUGAGUGGCUUGCUGUCAACAGUUUUGGAUGCACCGAUCAGUUUAUGGCAAGACGAUUUUGUGGUCUCUUUGAUUCUGCAGGUUUUGGAUGCACCGAUCAGUUUAUGGCAAGACGAUUUUGUGGUCUCUUUGAUUCUGCAGGUUUUGGAAGACAUUUUGGAUCAUUUCAAGAUUAUAUGGUAGAGUGAGGAUCAUAGUCAAUUCAUUAUGUAAUGGUUUCAAUUGUGGAUACUCAAUUGUUGUUGAUUUGUAAUGAUUCCAGAAAAUGAGGAGUGGAAUGACUUAAUAUGCAAUG